AUCGAACGCUGGCGGCAGGCCUAACACAUGCAAGUCGAGCGGAUGAAGGGAGCUUGCUCCUGGAUUCAGCGGCGGACGGGUGAGUAAUGCCUAGGAAUCUGCCUGGUAGUGGGGGAUAACGUCCUCAAACGGGCGCUAAUACCGCAUACGUCCUGAGCGAGAAAGUGGGGGAUCUUCGGACCUCUCGCUUUCAUAUGAGCCUAGGUCGGAUUAGCUAGUUGGUUGGGUAAAGGCCUACCAAGGCGACGAUCCGUAACUGGUCUGAGAGGAUGAUCAGUCACACUGGAACUGAGACACGGUCCAGACUCCUACGGGAGGCAGCAGUGGGGAAUAGUGGACAGAGGGCGAAAGCCUGAUCCAGCCAUGCCGAGUGUGUGAAGAAGGUCUUCGGAUUGUAAAGCACUUUAAGUUGGGAGGAAGGGCAGUAAGUUAAUACCUUGCUGUUUUGACGUUACCAACAGAAUAAGCACCGGCUAACUUCGUG
rnacentral:rRNA from 1 species